rnacentral:rRNA from 1 species
UACGUAGGGUGCGAGCGUUAAUCGGAAUUACUGGGCGUAAAGCGUGCGCAGGCGGCUUUGCAAGACAGGCGUGAAAUCCCCGGGCUCAACCUGGGAAUUGCGCUUGUGACUGCAAGGCUGGAGUGCGGCAGAGGGGGAUGGAAUUCCGCGUGUAGCAGUGAAAUGCGUAGAUAUGCGGAGGAACACCAAUGGCGAAGGCAAUCCCCUGGGCCUGUACUGACGCUCAUGCACGAAAGCGUGGGGAGCAAACAGG